UGCACAACUGUGAUUCUUGCUGAAUAAUUGAAGCCCAGGCUUUGUCCAUACCAGGGAUAUUACUGUUUGAUUUUGUUAUCCCAAAGGGACAGCUGCAAACUGCUGAUGCCUGUGCUGGUUCUGAAAUUGCUACAGAAUGUGGGAAUUUUUUGAGUUUCAUGUUGGAAAAUCACCAGGCAUUGCACUGGGAAGUGGGGGCUUCUCAGAGGUUUAAAAAAACAGUUCAAGAGUAUAUAGAUGGGAGGACUGAUUGAGCCUGGGAGAUUGAGGCUACAGCGUGCCGAGCCUCACAAUUUUGCAAGCAUUAGUUCAGAUUAUGGAAGGUACGGUUGUAAAUCUCAUUGUUAGGACUAGAAGGGUGGUGAUGGCAGAUCUGAAAAGCCACAUCAGGGGAACAUAUGAUGCAGGGUACCUUCUAGCGGUAUAGAGACUCAAGUACCAGAAUGCCCAGAUUUGAGUCCUGGCUUCCCCACUUACUAGGUCCAUAACCUGGCACUAAUGAGUUACUUAAUCUCUGUCUCGUUUUUCCCCCAUCUGUAAAACUGUGAUUUAAGGGUACCCACCUCAUAGUUGUUUAGGGUUCAGUGAAUAAAUAUUUGUAAAGCAUUAGCAUAGUGCCUGGAAAAGAAUUCAUUUAAAAUUUAUUGCAUGCCUACUAUGAGCUCAGUUCUAAUAAAAAUUAAAAUUCAGACUUUACAUUUGAUAGGUACUGACUGCAAAGGAAAAAAGAGCAAUCAAAAUUGAAAGUACAGUGGAGGUUUUGAAAUUAUCUACAGAAAGGUAAUUAAAAUCCUGACAAUAGAUAAAUUAUUCAAGGGAGAAAAUUUAGAUAAAAAUCAAAGAGCAGAUGACUAAGUCUCAAAAACAACAACAACAAAAAAAAAAAAUCACCUCUCUGAUUGGAUGUGGGAAAACAGGAAGAUGAGAAGUCAGAUAAAUCAUGACUAGAACAGUGUAUCACUUGAAGGCCAGGCGCAGAAGCACCUGUAAUCCCAACACUUGGGGAGGCCAAGGAGGAUGAAUCACUUGAGGUCAGGAGUUUGAGCCCGGCCAACAUGAUGAAACCCUGUCUCUACUGAAAAUACAAAAAUUAGCUGGGUGUGGUGGCAGGUGCCUGUAAUCCCAGCUACUGGGAACGCUAAGGAAUGAGAGUUGCUUGAAACCUAGAGGCGGAAAUUGCAGUGAGCCAAGAUCAAACCACUGCACUUCAGCCUGGGCAAUGAAGCAAGCCUGUCUUCAAAAAAAAAAAAUAGUGGUAUCACUUCAGAAACUUCCAGUAACAAUA
rnacentral:lncRNA from 1 species